CAGGCGCGGGCCUGGCCCAGAGGCGACAGGAAGCCAGGACGCCGGGGAUUGUCUCUCGCAACCGCAGCCCAGCCCCAGUCCGGGAGGAAGUUCUGCCGGGCGCUCUCCGCCGGUGCCUCACUGGUUAUAGUGCUAUACAGGAAACCUGGCAGCGCCGGAGCCGCGCGGUCGAGGAGGGAGCGCGGGACGCCGAGCCCACGCGCGCCUGCCGGGACAAGUGGAGACGAGGCCGGCGAGCGGACGCCCCGAGGUUGGCGAAGGAGCUGUGGCCGGGUCCCCUUCUUAUCCAGCCCGAGACACUGCGCUCCGCUCCGAUUCCGCGAAACCUCUCCGGCACCACCUCGGAAGCCCCGCCCAGGGCGAUGGUCCGGGCCUAACCUGCCGGCCCCGCCCACCCGGCCCUUGGGCUCCCUGAGGCCCGCCCAGCAGACUCGAGGAACGCUUGACAAAGUGGCGAAGGAGCCCUACGGGAGUCCCGGAUUGGACCCUGCUCCUUCGGUCCCUCAGCCUCGGCAAGCCGCGGUCUCCUGGCCCUUGGCCUGGGUCACCUUAGGAGGCAGGAGGAGAUGUGGUCAGUGUGGGAGCUUGGAGGGGCCAUGCACUUCCGGAGAAGACCACCGACUCAUGGCUUUGGUGGAGGGGCGCCGGCAGAUUUAGUUAAGCUCUCCCCCAUCCCUGACACACCCAGCCGGGGCGGGAGCGGGGCUUGUGACCACUCCGGAGAGCUUUGAGGGCCCCUGCUUUGGGACUCCGCACGGACAGUCACUGUCUCAGAGUGCAUUCUCCAGGGGCCACUCUCUUGGGGACACUGUAGGGGUCACAGGGCAGGUGGGCAGCCUCUCUCGGGGGGCGGCGUGAGAGCCGGAGAGCAGGGGGCGGGGGCGGGCCCGGCUCGGGCUCACGUCUGCGUUGAAGCCGCUGGGGAAGGGGAGAGAAACCGAGAGAACCGGUUCCCCCGCCUUGACAGCGGAGGCCCCCACACCAAGGCCCUUGGACUAAGCGGGGCAGGGACAGCCUCCAGGUAGAGCUGUUCGCCGGGGCGCCUGCAGAGCCCGCAUCCCAACCCUGACCCCGGGGCCGGGGCGCAGGCUCCUGGAGGGAGGCGUCCAGGCGGGACAGGGCCCGGGGAGCGGCAGGAAAUGGGCUGCUCUUCCCACUUGACUGACGGGAAAACUAAGGCACGGUCAACUAUCAAGCAAGCGUGGUGUCGACCUUAGAGCAGGUAAUCACCCCUCGUUUUAAAGCCAAAGUUUCCCUCGCAGUCGAUUUGGACCAAGACUACCCACAAUCUCCCCACCGCAGGACUGAAGCGAGGCUGAAAUCUUAGAAUCAACCCCACGGAAUGAAGAGGUUGUCCUAAUUCCAGCACUGAGUGAAAAUGCCGCGGCCGCAAUGGCGGCGGAUGUGGAGGGGGACGUGUACGUACUGGUGGAGCACCCCUUCGAGUACACCGGCAAGGACGGGCGCCGCGUGGCCAUCCCGCCCAAUGAGCGCUACCGGCCGCUGCGGCGCAGCACAGAGCACUGAGCAUUGGUGGCACGUGCGGCGCAAGCCCGGCGGCCGCCCCUUCUACCUGCCCGCGCAGUACGUGCGCGAGCUGCCUGCGCUGGGCAACCCUGCCGCUGACGCGCCGCCAG
rnacentral:lncRNA from 1 species